rnacentral:rRNA from 1 species
UGAUUUAUAUAAAUUAUAUAUUAAUAAUUUUUAAAUAAAAUAUUUUUUAUUUUUAUUAUAUUUUUAAGAAAUGAUUAAUUUUAUGAUAGUUGAUUAGUAUAGUAAUAGAAUUUUCAAAUAGAAAAAGUUAAGAAAAAAUUAAUUUUUGUACCUUGUGUAUCAGGGUUUAUUAAUUAAUAUUUACUUAGGUAAAAUUCUCGAUUUUAAAAGAGUGAGUUAUUUAUAUAUUUUAUUGUAAAAUAAAUAUUUAAAAUAAAUAAUUAGUAAUGAAACGUUAUUCGUUUUUAAAUAUAUCUAGUUUUUAAAGAAAAAAAUUUAAUUUUAUUUAUAUAAAUAUUUUAUUUUAAAUUUUAAUAGUAAAGUUUUAUGUAAGUUAUAUUAUAAGGGAUAAGCUUUAUAGUAAAUAAUUAUAAGUUGAUGUAUUUAAUUUAAAAUGUAGGAUUAUAAAUUUUUAUCAAAUAAUUUGUUAUAAUUAAUUAAAUUUAAUUAAAGAUUUAUAUUGACUUUAAGUUUUUUAUUUAAAUAUUAAAUUUAAUAAUAAAGUUUAAAUAUUAAUGAUAAAAUUAGUAUAAUUAAAUGUAGGGUUAAAUUAGAUAAUAUAGGUUUUAAAAAGGAAUUCGGCAAAUAAAUUUUUCGCCUGUUUAUUAAAAACAUGUCUUUUUGAUUUUAAUUUAAAGUCUAGCCUGCCCACUGAUAUAUUAAAUGGCCGCAGUAUUUUGACUGUGCAAAGGUAGCAUAAUCAUUAGUUUUUUAAUUAAGAACUGGAAUGAAAGGUUGGACGAGAAAAUAUCUGUCUCUUUAAAAAUUAUUUAGAAUUUUAUUUUUAAGUUAAAAAGCUUAAAUUUUGUUGAAAGACGAGAAGACCCUAUAGAGUUUUAUAUAUUAAUUAAUAUUUAAUUAAAAUUGAAUUUUUUUAAUAUUAUUAAUUUGUGUAUUUAAUUGGGGUGAUUAAAAAAUUUAUUUAACUUUUUUUUUAUUUUAACAUAAAUUUAUGAAUUGUUGAUCCAUUAAUAAUGAUUAUAAGAUUAAAUUACCUUAGGGAUAACAGCGUUAUUUCUUUUAAGAGUUCUAAUCGAUAAAGAAGUUUGCGACCUCGAUGUUGGAUUAAAAUUAAUCUUUGGUGUAGAAGCUAAAGGGUUAGGUCUGUUCGACCUUUAAAAUUUUACAUGAUCUGAGUUUAAACCGGUGUGAGCCAGGUUGGUUUCUAUCUUUAAUUAUAGUUUAUAUUUCAGUACGAAAGGACCAGAUAUGAGUAAAAAUUAUUAUUUUUUGAGUGUUAUU